rnacentral:rRNA from 1 species
UUUAUGGAGAGUUUGAUCCUGGCUCAGGAUGAACGCUGGCGGCGUGCCUAAUACAUGCAAGUCGAGCGAACGGACGAGAAGCUUGCUUCUCUGAUGUUAGCGGCGGACGGGUGAGUAACACGUGGAUAACCUACCUAUAAGACUGGGAUAACUUCGGGAAACCGGAGCUAAUACCGGAUAAUAUUUGAACCGCAUGGUUCAAAAGUGAAAGACGGUCUUGCUGUCACUUAUAGAUGGAUCCGCGCUGCAUUAGCUAGUUGGUAAGGUAACGGCUUACCAAGGCAACGAUGCAUAGCCGACCUGAGAGGGUGAUCGGCCACACUGGAACUGAGACACGGUCCAGACUCCUACGGGAGGCAGCAGUAGGGAAUCUUCCGCAAUGGGCGAAAGCCUGACGGAGCAACGCCGCGUGAGUGAUGAAGGUCUUCGGAUCGUAAAACUCUGUUAUUAGGGAAGAACAUAUGUGUAAGUAACUGUGCACAUCUUGACGGUACCUAAUCAGAAAGCCACGGCUAACUACGUGCCAGCAGCCGCGGUAAUACGUAGGUGGCAAGCGUUAUCCGGAAUUAUUGGGCGUAAAGCGCGCGUAGGCGGUUUUUUAAGUCUGAUGUGAAAGCCCACGGCUCAACCGUGGAGGGUCAUUGGAAACUGGAAAACUUGAGUGCAGAAGAGGAAAGUGGAAUUCCAUGUGUAGCGGUGAAAUGCGCAGAGAUAUGGAGGAACACCAGUGGCGAAGGCGACUUUCUGGUCUGUAACUGACGCUGAUGUGCGAAAGCGUGGGGAUCAAACAGGAUUAGAUACCCUGGUAGUCCACGCCGUAAACGAUGAGUGCUAAGUGUUAGGGGUUUCCGCCCCUUAGUGCUGCAGCUAACGCAUUAAGCACUCCGCCUGGGGAGUACGACCGCAAGGUUGAAACUCAAAGGAAUUGACGGGGACCCGCACAAGCGGUGGAGCAUGUGGUUUAAUUCGAAGCAACGCGAAGAACCUUACCAAAUCUUGACAUCCUUUGACAACUCUAGAGAUAGAGCCUCCCCUUCGGGGGACAAAGUGACAGGUGGUGCAUGGUUGUCGUCAGCUCGUGUCGUGAGAUGUUGGGUUAAGUCCCGCAACGAGCGCAACCCUUAAGCUUAGUUGCCAUCAUUAAGUUGGGCACUCUAAGUUGACUGCCGGUGACAAACCGGAGGAAGGUGGGGAUGACGUCAAAUCAUCAUGCCCCUUAUGAUUUGGGCUACACACGUGCUACAAUGGACAAUACAAAGGGCAGCGAAACCGCGAGGUCAAGCAAAUCCCAUAAAGUUGUUCUCAGUUCGGAUUGUAGUCUGCAACUCGACUACAUGAAGCUGGAAUCGCUAGUAAUCGUAGAUCAGCAUGCUACGGUGAAUACGUUCCCGGGUCUUGUACACACCGCCCGUCACACCACGAGAGUUUGUAACACCCGAAGCCGGUGGAGUAACCUUUUAGGAGCUAGCCGUCGAAGGUGGGACAAAUGAUUGGGGUGAAGUCGUAACAAGGUAGCCGUAUCGGAAGGUGCGGCUGGAUCACCUCCUUU